GGUCGCCUCACCGCGAGUACUGGUCCGGCUGGGCCUUUCCUUCUGGGGAACCUCAUGGCCUUCACUGGCUGUGGGGGGAACCAGGACUUUUACUGUGAAAAAAUUAGAGUGUUCAAAGCAGGCCUUUGCUCGAAUACAUUAGCAUGGAAUAAUAGAAUAGGACGUGUGGUUCUAUUUUGUUGGUUUCUAGGACCGCCGUAAUGAUUAAUAGGGAUAGUCGGGGGCGUCAGUAUUCAGCUGUCAGAGGUGAAAUUCUUGGAUUUGCUGAAGACUAACUACUGCGAAAGCAUUCGCCAAGGAUGUUUUCAUUAAUCAGGGAACGAAAGUUAGGGGAUCGAAGACGAUCAGAUACCGUCGUAGUCUUAACCAUAAACUAUGCCGACUAGGGAUCGGACGGGAUUCUAUAAUGACCCGUUCGGCACCUUACGAGAAAUCAAAGUUUUUGGGUUCUGGGGGGAGUAUGGUCGCAAGGCUGAAACUUAAAGAAAUUGACGGA
rnacentral:rRNA from 1 species